rnacentral:rRNA from 1 species
UACGGGGGGAGCAAGCGUUGUUUGGAUUUACUGGGCGUAAAGGGCGCGUAGGCGGCCACUGCAAGUCAGUUGUGAAAUCUCCGGGCUUAACCCGGAAAGGUCAACUGAUACUGCAGGGCUAGAGUGCAGAAGGGGCAACUGGAAUUCUCGGUGUAGCGGUGAAAUGCGUAGAUAUCGAGAGGAACACCUGCGGCGAAGGCGGGUUGCUGGGCUGACACUGACGCUGAGGCGCGAAAGCCAGGGGAGCGAACGGG